rnacentral:piRNA from 1 species
UCGAAAAACGAAUGGAAAGUU